rnacentral:lncRNA from 12 species
CUAUAAACACACCAUAACCAAUAAACAGUAUAUUCAACAAUAGGGAUUACUUUUUCUCUUAUAAUAAAGAUUCCAGAGGUAGUUAGUUGUUGGUGUUGUUUUGGGAAAUAAAUCAUCUUUAGAGAUAUAUCUACAAGUCUUGAUCCUGCCCUCCUGUUCACAAGGAAACUGCUGUGGCUCCAGCUGGUUGACCACAUCCAGGCCAGAAGAAGGAGAAAGUGGAGAAUCAGAUGCUCCAGCAGAAUUGUGCUUCAUUUUACUGGCCAGAACUGUAUCAAGGGGCUCUGUCAACUGUUACUGAACAGCAUUUAUCUUUGUCACAUUCCUAAUGCCAUUUCCAAUCCUACUGGCUAUGAUACGACACACUUUUUUAGACAUCGUGGGGACCCAAUGAAGAAAACAGAGCCCCUGCCACUGACAGGCAACUGAGGAGAAAUUCAGAACAUACAGAAGCCUUUGAUAACCAACACAAACAAAGCCACUAAGUGGCUGCAGAAUGCUGCCAAUCUCAGCUUCUUGUAGUUGCCGGGACCCUCCCAGGUCCUGCUUCCUCGUUGGGUGCUUUCCAAUGACUCCCAUGUAGAGUCUCUGUGGGCCUGCUUUCCAGCUGCUGGGCUGGGGGUGAGACUAAA